GACUCUUCCUCACUUAUCUUGGAGUUCCCACCCUCUAAGUUGUAUGUUCAUUAUUUCCAUUCUCCAAAAGCUUCCUUCUUUCCAUCUUUUCCAUUCCUUUCCUUUUCCACAUUUAUUUCCUUCAUUAUAUUCUUGUUUACGUCUUUUUCCAUUUGGUUAUCUUCUUCAUUCUUUGCUUCAUUUAAUGCUCUUUCAUUUCCGCAAUCAUCAUCAUAAUCACCAUAUAUUGUGUUUUUCCUUUUUC
rnacentral:lncRNA from 1 species